CCUACGGGUGACAGCAGUGAGGAAUAUUGGUCAAUGGACGCAAGUCUGAACCAGCCAUGCCGCGUGCAGGAAGACGGCUCUAUGAGUUGUAAACUGCUUUUGUACGAGGGUAAACGCAGAUACGCGUAUCUGUCUGAAAGUAUCGUACGAAUAAGGAUCGGCUAACUCCGUGCCAGCAGCCGCGGUAAUACGGAGGAUUCAAGCGUUAUCCGGAUUUAUUGGGUUUAAAGGGUGCGUAGGCGGUCGGAUAAGUUAGAUGUGAAAUCCCGAGGCUCAACUUCGGAAUUGCCUCUGAUACUGUUCGGCGAGAGAGUAGAUGCGGUAGGCGGAAUGUAUGGUGUAGCGGUGAAAUGCUUAGAGAUCAGACAGAACACCGAUUGCGAAGGCAGCUUACCAAGCUACUUCUGACGUUGAGGCACGAAAGCGUGGGGAGCAAACAGGAUUAGAUACCCCAGUAGUC
rnacentral:rRNA from 1 species